GAGUGUUGUUCUGAUGGAAAAAACUUGUAGAGACUUACCGUCGCGAUCAUGCUAAUGCUAGCUCGGUGUCUCACAGGCUAACCACUCACCUUUCAUCCGGAGAGCUGCUGCAAUUCCAACGCCAGUGUGUGUUGGGCUUUUGUGAAACAGAGCAACGGUCAGGUUUUUUGGAGAGGACGGAAAAGUCCAAGGACCAGGACGAUAUUCUGGUUGUGAUAGAUGGCGAGCCAACCACUUUGAGGACGAUCUACCCCAAAGAAGAUACACACCACACACUCAUACAUUCCAGUUACAUUCACAAGGACCUUUGAAGUUGGCUAUCACCAGCUUAACUCUAAAUUCUUAAAGGGCCCCAACGAGUACUUUUAUUUUGUUGAGUGUGCACACUAUUUAUUUUAUUUUAUACUUUAUCUGUACAAAUUGGACAAAUACCUGUUAUACUUUGUAACAAUACAAGAGUGGCUACUCAAAAGUUAA